rnacentral:rRNA from 1 species
UACGUAGGGUGCGAGCGUUGUCCGGAAUUAUUGGGCGUAAAAGAGCUUGUAGGCGGUCUGUCGCGUCUGCUGUGAAAAUCCGGGGCUCAACCCCGGACUUGCAGUGGGUACGGGCAGACUAGAGUGUGGUAGGGGAGACUGGAAUUCCUGGUGAUAGCGGUGAAAUGCGCAGAUAUCAGGAAGAACACCCGUGGCGAAGGCGGCUCUCUGGGACG